CAGGGAAGCAGUCAGGACCUGAAACUGGAAGCUGCCAUUCCACCAGCAUGCUUUGCCACCCUGAAGAGUGACACCAAGAGCAGAAGAAACGCCCCAGAGUGAAGGACUCCAGUGUGUCUGGGUUUGGUUCUUGGAACAAAACUUCUGACAAGUCUUGCCAGCGAAUCCUGAGACUAUGGUUGUCAGCUCUGACACGUAGACAGUGGCUGCACUCUGUUUCUGAGAUGAGGGUCUCCGGCCAUUUCAAAUAAAUAAUUUCAAUUUCCAA